rnacentral:lncRNA from 1 species
AAGCGAUUACAAAGAAAUAAAAGACAGCUAACAAAAUGUUCAAGUAAUUCGAUCACCUUUGAAUUGGUUAUCUGAUACAGACAUCUUAUUCGACGUGUGAAUGAAUAUAUAACUAACCUAGGCUCUUUUUCCACUCCCACAAACAAGGUAACAAGAAAUAAUAUAAUUUGAAAGCUUUUAUUAAAUAAAUAUAUGAUAACUGGAUCGAGAAUUUUCUUGUCACUUUCUAGGGAUUGAAUCCCUAUGUAAUUAACUUGAUGGAAUAACAGGUGAAGCUUGGAAUGACUCAUCCCCACUAUUGGAUGGCAUCAAAAAACGUGGAAAAUCAUAGAGAACCUGUAAUUAGUAAAAGUAUUCUGAUCACUAUCUUUUGCGAUCACAUCUCUCACAAAAAUGUUCUUCUCCAGGAGAGUAUAAAAGUGGCACCCGUUCCUGCAAAGCUAUUCAUCUUCAACACUAACAAAACCUUGAAGCUAGAGUUUUGAUUAAAGAUUUCAAUGGCAGGUGAGGCUCAAUCCGGUUCACAGCAACCUCAANCCACUCCACCAGACACCAAGANCACGGACACCACCACCAAACCCAACAUCGACAGUAUCGAUAAGAUUGGCUCUCCCGACGUUUAUGUAAAACUUGCGAGGGACCGUGUCAAAGGUUUCACCGCCAUUGUGUUUGAAAGCCAACCGUAAUGUGGAGAUUUCCUUGGCAGCCUCUACUCCUACUGUCCAACCAUGGACAUCAAUCCUCUCGUAAUGAAGCUACAUAUAUAGCUGCACCCAACUUAAUCAUUAACUAAAUAAUCUCUGCUGUUCAUGUUGCCUCUUUCUUCUUUUCAUAUGUUUCCCUAGUCAAAACUAUCCUACUAUCAAUAAAACAGGAGUAUAUAUGGCUGUACCACUAUUUUCUAAAUGCUGCUAUUCAAUAAACUGUAGCUUUGCAUAACUAUUUACUGCUUUUUUUUAUCAGCAUGAAAAUACAGUGUGUGUGUGUAUAUAUAUAUAUAUAUAUAUGUAAUAGAAUAACCUUAUGUUUUAAUACACCUAAGUUCUUGUCUAUAUCACUGAAUUUGAAACUAACUUCUUAUUAAGGG